rnacentral:rRNA from 1 species
ACUACGUGCCAGCAGCCGCGGUAAUACGUAGGUGGCAAGCGUUAUCCGGAAUUAUUGGGCGUAAAGCGCGCGCAGGUGGUUUCUUAAGUCUGAUGUGAAAGCCCACGGCUCAACCGUGGAGGGUCAUUGGAAACUGGGAGACUUGAGUGCAGAAGAGGAAAGUGGAAUUCCAUGUGUAGCGGUGAAAUGCGUAGAGAGGUGGAGGAACACCAGUGGCGAAGGCGACUUUCUGGUCUGUAACUGACACUGAGGCGCGAAAGCGUGGGGAGCAAGGGGGAUUAGAUACCC